ensembl:lncRNA PCBP1-AS1 PCBP1 antisense RNA 1
CAUUGGCCAGUGCCAGCACAUCCGAUAGGAAGACAAACAUAAAGAUGAAGUGCUUAAUUCAAGGUCACACAAUGUCGGGGAUGGACCUCCAGAUUUCCUUACUGACCUGCAUUAUCUUGUGGAUACCUGAGUGAAUUCCACACCACCCAUUUUAUAGAUGAAACCACUGAGACAUGGAGCAAUUGACUGAGUAGUCACUGCCCCACCCCUGCCUGGAG